rnacentral:lncRNA from 1 species
AUACAAGAUGUAUAACCAGGAUACAACCACUACUAAAUGAAUAUACAAACAAUCAUACAUUCAUACAUUCAUACACCAUUCAUCACAUAUUCACAUUCAGUGUUUAAUCAUAAAUCCACAUCUAUUAGUUAAAACGUUUUCUAGUCGGAAACUGGUUUUGAAAUACUAAGAUACAAAAACCACAAGAAAACCUUUUAAAACUAUUUCCCACAUGAAAACUCUUUUCUUUUUGAAAACAUGCUACCACGAGGGAUAGAAAACUAUUUUCAUUUCACAGAAAUUCAAUUACGUUAUUACCUUCAUAAAACCAACUGAAAUCUCACAUAUUCAAAUGUAAUGACAAAACUGAACCAUAAUAAUU